rnacentral:rRNA from 1 species
AUACGUAGGGUGCAAGCGUUAAUCGGAAUUACUGGGCGUAAAGCGUGCGCAGGCGGUUUUGUAAGACAGUGGUGAAAUCCCCGGGCUCAACCUGGGAACUGCCAUUGUGACUGCAAGGCUGGAGUGCGGCAGAAGGGGAUGGAACUCCCCGUGUAGCAGUGAAAUGCGUAGAUAUGUGGAGGAACACCGAUGGCGAAGGCAAUCCCCUGGGCCUGCACUGACGCUCAUGCACGAAAGCGUGGGGAGCAAACAGGAUUAGAUACCCUGGUAGUCCACGCCCUAAACGAUGUCAACUGGUUGUUGGGGAUUUAUUUUCUCAGUAACGAAGCUAACGCGUGAAGUUGACCGCCUGGGGAGUACGGCCGCAAGGUUAAAACUCAAAGGAAUUGACGGGG